AUUGAACGCUGGCGGCAGGCCUAACACAUGCAAGUCGAGCGGAGCGGCGGACGGGUGAGUAAUGCCUAGGAAUCUGCCUGGUAGUGGGGGAUAACGUCCGGAAACGGGCGCUAAUACCGCAUAAUAUCAGAUGAGCCUAGGUCGGAUUAGGUAGUUGGUGGGGUUACUGACUAACAAGGCGACGAUCCGUAACUGGUCUGAGCGGAUGAUCAGUCACCUGGGAACGUAGACAGGGUCCCGUCUCCGACGGGAGGCAGCAGUGGGGAAUAUUUGACAAUGGGCGAAAGCCUGAUCCAGCCAGGCCGCGUGUGUGAAGAAGGUCUUCGGAUUGUAAAGCACUUGAAGUUGGGUGGCGUUACCAACAGAAUAAGCACCGGAUAACUUCGUGCCAGCAGCCGCGGUAAUUC
rnacentral:rRNA from 1 species